CGAGGAAGUUGACAUGUCAUCACUUCAUUUUUUUGCGCCUGCGUAUAAAUCUGAGAAGCGUGAGUUUUCAUUAUUGUUUAUCUAGACAUAGGAUAGGUUGUGUGAAAAUAUUACUGAUGUUUAACGUUAAAAAUGGACCAAAAGAUUAAUGUUAAACAACAUUUGACAUGUUUGAACGGACGUAAAUAGAUUAUUUACUAGUUUUUUUUAGCUUUUCGGCGUGAUUUUACACUCCCCCCACCACGUUUUGUGGGAGCAUAAUGAACGCUAAGUACUUGGUGUUAUUUGGACAUAAAUUAUGAACUUUGUCAAAAGAAACCACAUUUGUUCCGGACCUGGGAUGCCUUCCGGACCUGGGAUGCCUGCCUUCUGAUGGAGAUAAUCAAAGGUUUCUGGAAGGACUGUGGGGGGAUGGACUGUGAGGGGAUGGCAGAGGCUCGCCUUGUAGGAGACUGUUGCUGAUUACUGCUGACGUGUGGUGGUCUCUAAGGCGCUUAUAGCUGACGAAGCAUCACCCAGGUGGGUGCUACACUUUUCAGUGGUGAAUCUGUAUCGACCGCGGGGGAGGAGUCGCUGUGAACUUCAGAGACAAAGGUGCCUGAUGAAUAGCUCCGGGGCCUGCCUGUCUGAAUAAUCUUACUCCCUAGCUGGCCAAUCGACACCAGCUUGACUAAAGCUUCUCCUGUACAUAACUGCAUCAUCGUCCAGCUGUGGAAGACCAUCUCCCCUGUAUUGCCAGCUCCCUGACAUCUUUUUUUUUUGUAUGUGACUGAGAAUCUGUACGAAAAGUGCUAUUAUUAUUAUUAAGAUCCUAUUAAAUUACUAGAGGCGCUAUGUUAUAAACCCUCAAAGUUCCAGAAUGGUAUGAAAAUGGCAGCCAUUGUGGUCAGGCAGAAAUCCAAACCAGUCUUAUUGGGAUGAAUGGCAGUAGAGGCAUAGGUGAUGCAUUCCUUCUUUUACUGAUGCAGGGAAAUAAAAGUAAGGCAUGUGCAGGGGUGUCAUUUCAGCUAAACCUAGGGUAUGGCAAAGUGCAGUGGGUGGGGUUUAAUGAAAUGAAAUCUAUGAAAUGUAUGCAUUCACUACUGUAAGUCGCUCUGGAUAAGAGCGUCUGCUAAAUGACUAAAAUGUAAAUGUAAUGUAUAUAUUGCCUAUGCCUGUCAUUAGUCACUUUAAAUAACGGCACUUUAAUAAUGUUUACAUAUCCUACAUCACUCAUCUCAAAUGUAUAUACUGCUCCAUGCCAUCUACUGCAUCUUGCCUAUGCCGCACGGCCAUCACUCAUCUAUAUAUUUAUAUGUACAUAUUCUUAUUCAUCCCUUACAUUUGUGUGUAUAUGGUAGUUGUUGUGAAUUUGUUAGAUUACUUGUUAGAUAUUACUGCAUUGUCGGAACUAGAAGCACAUGCAUUUCGCUACAGUCGCAUUAACAUCUGCUAACCAUGUGUAUGUGACCAAUACGAUUUUCUUUGAUUUGGAACAACCAUUUCAGUAACGGGUGCAGGAAUUCAAUGAUUGGAUUAGUUUAGAAAACAAUUAUUUAUCUUUGUGUAGCAUAACAUUUAAUAAACCAAUCACUCAAUGUACAUGCAAAAACACAUGAAAACUAUUCCGAAAAAAUCUACCCGCGUUAGAGUUCAAAAUACCUUGGGAAUUACAGUGUAGCAGCAACAGCCUAUCAGAAGAUUGCAGGUGUGGCUUAUUAAAGUGGCAUUCAGCUGGCUCUUUUUGGUCUCCCAUGAGAGGGAAUUUUGUCCCAGUUAAUCUACUCUGUUGUAUUCUGUUCAUGAACAUUAAGCUUGAACAUGGUUAGUUCUCCAGCCUUGUUAAAGGCUAACAUAAGUGCAUGUGAUACCAAAGACCCAUACAAUAUUUCAUUUAUAGAUAGUUACCAUGUCAUUGUAAUAACCACUUCUCGGCUACACCAUCAGGUCAGUGAGUGACAGAUUAGCUACAGUAAAUUACUGUGAAUUCUAUAAUAACACACUUGUAACUAUUAGAAAUGAAGUUAUUGAAAACUAAACAUUACAUUUGUGUGUACCAGCUGCCAAUAAUCUACAGGAAAAUGCAUAGUAAGUUCUUAACAGUGCAACUCUGGAUUGUCACCAAGUACUUACACCAAUUGAAGAACUGUCAAAAGAUGUGCUCAACUUUCAUCAACAUAACGAUACACCCGUUAAACUGGUACAACAUUUCCACUGACGGAUGGCACAAACAUGUUUUAGACAAAAAUGCUAAUGAGCCCCACCAGUACAUUGCCCCUACCGACAUUUCAAAGUGCAGAAAUGAUUGUACCUUAUAUCGAAUUUAUUGGGUAGAAAAUGUACCUUUAUACUAGAUUAUCUGCACAUGUACCCUUAAUGGUACUGACCAAGUGGCACAGUGCUGAGGUGCCACUACAGCCUGGGUCACAGCUGACCGGAAGCUCUGUAGGAAGGCACACAAUUGUGCCGUCCGGUUUAGGGGAGGGUUUGGCUCAUUGUGCUCUUGCUAGUUCUUGUGGCAGGCCAUGUGCCUGCAAGCUGACGUCAGUUGAACGGCGUUUCCUCCGACCCGCACUGCUACUUUUUCAUUGGUGUUGUCAAAUAAUCACACAAUUAUUGACUUGAUUCUAGGCAACCUUUAGCAGUGCAGAAAUGUAUUCUUGCCAAUAAAUCUGUGGCCGAUCUCUGUCAUGGCCACAGACCUGGUGGCGUGGUAGGAAAUCCAGGUUGCUAGUAUCCCCUUUACAUAAAAAAAAAAAUUUCACGUGGAAAAUCACAAGAUUUCACAUGUGAAAUGUCACAUUUGAAGUGCCACAUGUGAAGUGUUCCAAAAACACGUUUUCACAUGAAAUGUCACAUGUGAAGGGUUAAAAAAAGUUUUAAUGGCCACUCACCUGGUGGCGUAGCAAGAAAUUCAUGUUGCAAGAAAUUCAUCCCCCUUAUGGAAAAAAACAUGUGAAAUCAUGUGAAAACGUGUUUUUGGAACACUUCACAUGUGACAUUUCAAAUAUGAAACUAUGUGUUUUGAAACUCUUCACGUGACAUUUUUGAAUGUUACAUGCGCAAGUACAGUGAAAUGCCUUUCUUCCAAGCUCUGACCCAAUCAAUGCAGUUAACAAUAACUAUGUAAUACAAAAAAUAACAAGGUAGAACAAAAACAUGAGAAAACAUGAGAUAUAAAAAUAAGAAAUAAGAAGAACAUGAUAAAGUAACUAAGUAUACAAUAUACAGGGUCAGCACAUUUACAAUGUGCAAGGAUACUGGAUUGAUAUGUAUAAGGGUACGGUGACAAGGCAUCAGGAUAUAUGAUAAACAGAGUAGCAGGAGUAUAUAUGAUAAUUGUAUGUGAGUGGGUGUAUGUAGAGUCAGUAUUAUAAAUGUAUGUGCAAAUUAUGGAAUGAGUGUUUGUAUGUGUGAGUAUCCUGUAUGUGUGAGUAUCCCCUGUGAUGUACUUGCCUGUCCGCACUACCCUUUGUAGUGUCGUGCAAUAGAGGUCGGUGUUAUUGCCAUACCAAGCAGUGAUACAGCUGUAAACCUUUUUGAGGAUUUGAGGUCCCAUGCCAAACCUUUUCAUCCUCCUGAGGGGGAAUAGGCCCUGUCGCGCCUUCUUCACGAUUGUGUGCGUGAGUGUGGACCAUUUUAAGUUCUUAGUGAUUUGUACAUCAAGGAACUUGAAGCUCUCGUCCCGCUCCACUGCAGCCUGGUCAAUGUGGAUGGGGGCGUGCUCGCCCUACCGUUUCCUGUAGUCCACGAUCAGCUCCUUGGUCUUACUGACAUUGAGAGAGAGGUUGUUGUUCCGUCCCCACAAUGCCAGGUCACUGACUUCCUCCCUGUAGGCUGUCUCAUCGUCGCCGGGGAUCAGGCCUACCACCGUCGUACCGUCAGAAAACUUGAUAUUGUUGGAGUCAUUGGUGGCCACACUGUUGUGGGUGAACAGGAAGGACAGGAGGGGACUAAGCACACACCUCUGUGGGGCCCCUGUGUUGAGGGUCAACAUGGCGGUGGUAAUCUUGCCUACCCUCACCACCUGGGGUCGGCCCAGGAAGUCCAGGAUCCAGUUGCCGAACGAGGUGUUCAGGGUCCUAUGCUUUGUGUCGAGCUUGGAGGGGACAAUGGUGCUGAAUACUGAGCUGUAGUCAAUGAACAGCAUUCUCACAUAGGUAUUCCUCUUAAUGUCUAUGGAUCUGUUGGGGCGGUAUGCAAAUUGGAGUGGGUCUAGGGUGUCUGGGAUGAUGGAGUGGAUGUGUGCCAUAACCAGCCUCUCAAAGCACUUCAUGAUUACAGAUGUGAGUGCUAAAGGGUGGUCGUCAUUGUGGCAUGAAGCCUUAGAGUUCUUGGGAACAGGAAUGAUGGUGGUCAUCUUAAAACAUGUAGGGAUUACAGACUGGGACAAGGAGAGGUUGAAAUUUACCAUGAAUAUACUUUCCAGCUGUUCUGCGCAUGUUCUGAGAAUACAAUCGGGCCCCUGGAAUACAAUCAGGCCCCGCGGCCUUGCGGGUAUUGACCUGAUUAAAGACUCAUGUCGGCCUCUAAGAGUGGAUCACCCAAUCUUCUUGGUCAGUGGCGGCCCUCACAUCCGGCAUGAUGUUGUUAUUAUCGAAGCGUGCAUAAAAUGAUUUGAGUUCGUCUGGUAGAGAGGCAUCGUUGGGCAGAUCACAGCUGUGUCGUCCUUUGUAAUCCAUAAUGGAUUGCCAUAUGCGGUGGGCGGCGGAGCCUGUGUAAUAUGGUUCCACCUUAUUCCUAUAUUGUGCUUUUGCUCGCUGUGGAGGUCAUAGCGGGACUUUUGUACUAGUUUCUGUCCUCAGCUGUAGCCUCAGGGUUGUCUGCGAUAGCCCUGUGUGCGGUAGCCGUAUCCUUUAGUUUAGCACCAACCUCAGUGGUAAUCCAGGGCUUUUGAUUGGGGAAGCAGCAAACCUUAACUGUGGGGACAACGUCGCCAAUGCAUUUCCUAAUGAAGCCGGUGAUGGAGGUGGUUAGCUUGUUGUCUGUCGAUGUUAUCAGCGGAGUACCGAAUCAGCGCUAGCAAAGCAGUUCUCCAGCAUAAUCUCUCAUUCUGGAGACAAUUUCUCAAUGGAGUGAAUCAUGGGUAAUUCCUGUUUGAGCCUCUGCUUGUAAAUAGGAAGCAGGAGUACAGAGUAUGCUUGCUCGUGGGUAGAAUAACAGUGGACUUUAUCACCCCUAGUGGUGAGAGAGACGUGUUGACGGCAGUCGGGCAUUACGUGUCUUAAUGACGUGGAAUUAAAAUCGUAGGUCAGCUUGUUAUUUUUCUUGUCUUGAGUUGGAAUGUAUAGAACAGUCAUAGCUGAAAACUGUGGGAGGUUAAAGGUUCGGGCAUUUCACUAUUCCAAGAUGGGUGAACAAUGGGUCGACACUUCCACUGCGCUUGAGUCAGCACACCAGUUGUUGUUGAUGAAGAGGCAAACCGCUCUACCCUCUAUUUUCCUGACUCCACUGUCCUGUCUGCACAGUGAAUGGAAAAUCCAUAAAAUUGAACAGCCAUGGAGGGUAUCUUAUCUGAAAGACAUGUUUCAGAAAAGCAGAGAAUGUUGCAGUUUCUAGAGUCCUGUUGGUAGCAAAUCCGCAAUCGGAGAUCAUCUAUCUUAUUAUCAAGUGACUGGCCAGUAGAAUGGAGGGAAGAGGUGACCGGUUGUCCCUUUGCCUUAAUCUCACCAGGAUCCCCCAUCUGCGUUUCCUCUUGGGAUGCCCAAAAAUUGGGUCGGAAUUAUAGAAAGAGCAGAUGAGUCAAAGUCGAAGCUGAAGCUGGAAUAGCUGGAAACUAUGAAAUAGCACAUAUGGAAUCAUGUAAUAACCAAAAAACAAAUCCAAAUAUAUUUUAUAUUCGAUAUUCUUCAAAGUAGCCUCCCUUUGCCUUGAUGACAGCUUUGCACACUCUUGGCAUUCUCUCAACCAGCUUCAUGAGGUAGUCACCUGGAAUGCAUUUCAAUUAACAGGUGUGCCUUGUUAAAGGUUAAUUUGUGGAAUUUCGUUUGAGCCGAUCAGUUGUGUUGUGACCAAGUAGGGGUGGUAUACAGAAGAUUAUGGCAAGAACAGCUCAAAUAAGCAAAGAGAAACGACAGUCCAUCAUUAUUUUAAGACAUGAAGGUCAGUCAAUCCGGAAAAUGUCAAGAACUUUUAAAGUUUUUUCAAGUGCAGUCACAAAAAUCAUCAAGCUCUAUGAUGAAACUGUCUCUCAUGAGGACCGCCGUGUGAAAUCAUGUGUUUUUUCCACAAAGGAAAGUUAAAAUUGUGUGUGAAAUAAUUCAUGUACAGUAGGCUAUAGGGGAAAAAUCCUUAGAAUUGAGCUUUUACUCUCCUUCUGUUUAAGACCCAUGAAAUGUUUUUCUUGGCCCGGGAAACAGUUACAGAGUUCAGACAGAAAGAAAGAUCUCACCAGAUUUCAUCACCAAUCAGACGUCAUACUCUUAUAAGUGUGCCCAUGUGUCAAUUAGUGAUACUAAUCAGAGUUAAACAGACUUACGUUUCUACAUCCAGACAGAGUAGAAUCGACUUAAUGUGCCGAGCAUGUUAAUUACCCUGUGACAAGGGACCGUAACCUCUGACCCUCCUGAUAUGGAAUUGUGUAGACACUCACGUCAGUGUGAGAGAUAUAUAACAGUGUGUGAGAUAUAAUAGCCAGCCAGAUAUCCAUGACUGCUGUUACAUGUUCGAUUAAGGGCUAAUGUCAGAGUCUGGGGUGUUGUUUAAAUGCUGGGAUUAUUAAAAGAGAAGUGAUCUGACAUUAGAUGGGAAAACACAUUUCCAUUAGCUGUCUGGUAUAAUUACGCUGUGGGAGUAUAUCACAGGUGAAGUGCUACUGAUGUGACAUUAUAAUGAACGGGCCUCUCCUCUCUGCUCCAUCCAAACUAUUUUUAGAACAAAGUUAUGCAGCAUUAGUAAAGAUAUGAUCAAUAAAGAUAUAGUUCCUGUUCUGUUUGUAAAUGCUCUGGUGGGUUAUAAUAGCUCUAUCCAGCUAAUAGCUCUAUCCAGCAUCUAUAAUAGCUCUAUCCAGCAUAUCGGACUGCUUUUUUACCCCCACUACAUCACCGGAUUCCUGCCGCAAGCUCUGGACCAUUACAAUGGAUCAUCGCAGCUAGCUAGCUGCUACCGAGUGGCUAUCGUGACUAACGCCCUUGUCCAGAAGCAAGCACCAGUUAGCCUCGAGCUAGGCCCAUUCCCCCGGCUAGCAAACGUACACCAACUACAAUACCUCUCUUGCCAAUUGGCCUGGAUCCUUUGUCGACACGGAGCCCCACCGAUCCAUCACGACUGGCCUGCUGACGUAUUUCGGCCGAUGUGCUCUCAACCGGCCUCUGCGUCGUUGAUGUCGGUGAGGACCCAGCUACUAGCCCCGGCCUGCUAACUCUCUAAGCGCCGUGUCUCCCGCUCGCCCAGCCUGUUUCGUCCAUUGCUGCUUAUUGGAUCCUAUGAUCACUCAGCUACACAGCUGAUGCCUACUGGACUGUUAAUUAACACGGUACUUAUUUUUGUUAAUCUGUCGGCCCCAGCCUUGAACUCAGGUCCUGUGUGUAGCUAACUGACCCUCUCUGCCCAUUCAUCGCCAUUUACCCGUUGUUGUCGUCUUAGCUGUUUAGCCGUUGUUGUCUUAGCCCUCCCAAUCAACACCUGUGAUUGCUUUAUGCCUCCCUCUAAUGUCAAUAUGCCUUGUAUACUGUUGUUUAGGGUAGCUCUCAUUGUUUUGUUUUACUGCGGAGCCCCUAAUCCCGCUCUACAUUCCUCGGUUAGCUCCCUUGCCCCACCCCCCCACACAUGCGGAGACCGCACCUAGCUUAACUGGCGCUUCCAGAGAUUCAGCCUCUCUCAUCGUCACUCAAUGCCUAGGUUUACCUCCACUGUACUCACACCCUACCAUGCCUUUGUCUGUGCAUUAUGCCCUGAAUCUAUCCCACCACGCCCAGAAGUCUGCUCCUUUUACUCUCUGUUCCGAACGCACUAGACGACCAGUUCUUAUAGCCGUUAGCAGUACCCUUAUCCUACUCCUGUCACACCCUGACCUUAGAUUGCUGUUUAUUUUCACUAUUUUGGUUAGGUCAGGGUGUGAUUUGGGUGGGCAUUCUACAUUUUGUAUUUCUAUGUUUAUUCUAUGAUUUCUAUUUCUAUGUUGUUAGUUUCUAGUUUUGUAUUUCUCUGUUGUUUUGUUUGGGAUGAUCUCCAAUUAGAGGCAGCUGGUCCUUGUUGUCUCUAAUUGGAGAUCAUAUUUAAGUAGGUUUUUUUUCCACUUUCAGUUGUGGGAUCUUGUUUUUGCACAGCUCUGUAAAUCCUGACAGAACUGUGAGCUGAUCGUUUUCGCUUUUGUUAUUUUCUUUAGUGUUCUGUGUUAAAAUAAAAAGUCAUUAUGAGCACUCAACACCCUGUGCUUUGGUCCCCUCGGUACGACAGCCGUUACAACUCCUCCUCUGUUCCUCUGGUGAUGUAGAGGUUAACCCAGGCCCUGUGUGUCCCCAGGUGCUAUCAUUUGUUGACUUCUGUAACCGGAAAAGCCUUGGGUUCAUGCAUGCUUUUCAACCGAUCGCUGCCCGCACCCACCCGCCCGCCUAGCAUCACUACUCUGGAUGGUUCUGACUUAGAAUAUAUGGACAACUACAAAUACCUAGGUGUCUGGUUAGACUGUAAACUCUCCUUCCAGACUCAUAUUAAGCAUCUCCAAUCCAAAAUUAAAUCUAGAAUCGGCUUCCUAUUUCACAACAAAGCCUCCUUCACUCAUGCUGCCAAACAUACCCUCGUAAAACUGACUAUCCUGCCUAUCCUUGACUUCGGCGAUGUCACUGGCUCCAGGUCAUCUAUAAGUCUUUGCUAGGUAAAGCCUUAUCUCAGCUCACUGGUCACCAUAGCAACACCCACCCGUAGCACGCGCUCCAGCAGGUAUAUCUCACUGGUCAUCCCCAAAGCCAACACCUCUUUGGCCGCCUUUCCUUCCAGUUCUCUGCUGCCAAUGACUGGAACGAAUUGCAAAAAUCACUGAAGUUGGAGACAUUUCUCACUCACUAACUUCAAGCAUCGGCUGUCAGAGCAGCUUACUGAUCCCUGUAGCUGUACCCAGCCCAUCUGUAAAUAGCCCAUCCAACCAACUACCUUCCUCAUCCCCAUAUUUGUUUUUGUUUUUUUUCUGCUCAAAAGAGCAGUAUUUCUACUUGCACAUCCUCAUCUGCAUAUCUAUCACUCAAGUGUCCAUUGCUAAAUUGUAAUUACUUCGCCACUAUGGCCUAUUUAUUGCCUUACCUCCUUACUUCAUUUGCACACACUGUAUACAGAUUUUCUAUUGUGUUAUUGCCUGUAUGUUUGAUUAUCCCAUGUGUAACUCUGUGUUGUUGUUUUUGUCGCACUGCUUUGCUUUAUCUUGGCCAGGUCGCAGUUGUAAAUGAGAACUUGUUCUCAGCUGGCCUACCUGGUUAAAUAAAGGUGAAAUAAAAAACGUACAAAAUACAAUUUGAGUAAUAGUCUUCACUAUCAACAGUAUUGAUGGAAUUAGAUCAAACAAUCCAUAGAGAUAAAGCUUUUAUCAACCUACCAGUGUGUUUACAAAAAAGUACAGGAACUACAUCAUACAAGUGUAUUGAUCAUAUCUUUACUAAUGCUGCAGAACUUUGUUCUAAAGCUGUAUCCACACCCAUUUGAUGUAGUGACCAUAAUAUAGUGGCUAUAUCCAGAAAAGCCAAGGUUCCAAAGGCUGAGCCUUAAAUAUUCUAUAAAAGAUCAUAAACAAGGUUUUCUUAUGUUGAAUGUAAAUAUGAUUUGGUAGCCUGAUGUGCCUAAUGAGGAGCAUCCUGGCACUGCACUUGAUGCAUUUAUGAAAUUGUUACUUUCAGUUAUCAAUAAGCAUGUUAACUGAGUCAGGAAACUGACUGUUAAAACUGUUAAGGCCCCCCUGGAUUGAUAAGGAAUUGAAAAACUGUAUGGUUGAGAGAAAUCAAGCAAAGGGAGUGGCGAAUACGUCUGGCUGCACAUCUGAUUGGAAGACAUAUUGUAAAUUGAGAAAUUACGGGACUAACCUGAAUAUUUUAUAAUGAAAUUAAGAUAAAUUAUAUAAAGUAGGAUGGAAAAAAGCUUUGGAGUACUUUAAAUGAAAUUAUGGGCAGAGAGACUAAUUCAACUUCAUCUUUCAUUGCAUGUCACGGCUGUUUGAAUGAGCGGACCAAGAUGCAGUGUUUUCGUAGUUCCACAUGUUUUUAUUAAAUCAGUGAAACCGAAUGCAACAAUUAACACUUUAAGUAAAUACAAAACCACAAACCGUGACGCUGGAGGAACAUAAACCUCACGAAG
rnacentral:lncRNA from 1 species